AUUUUUUUUCGAAAGUGCUGGGAUCCGGCUGAAAUAAAGAGCAUCUUGUAGAGGGUACCCAUAGGGACUCUCACACCAAUUUUGAGCCCAUUUGGCUGAAAACUGGCUUGUCGCUCGGGGGUUAAAGUUUACAUGGAAAUUACUAUGGGAAAUGCGUGAUUUUGCUUCAAACGCUCCUACAAGCUAAGCGACAAACUUUAGCCCACACUUACACUAGGUAGCCGUGUCGGGGGUGGUCCAAGGAACAUUUUUCUCUAAGGGUUCAUGGUCAUACGUUCAACCCUGAGCUUGCGCAACGCGGAAUUAUCCGGCGGCGCCGGAAUUCUUCAAAAUCUCAGUUUUAAUUGUCAACGCAUGCUUCGUAACUAUGAAUGUAGCAUAUUGUGAAACGAAAAACACGACGCCAAACGUCAACGCAAGCUGGAAACAUCACAACAAACCUGUGCUAAAAAAGUGUUCUUCAUCGUGAAAUUCGAAAGUACCGUGAAUUAACAAAAUAAAAGAAACUUCCGUUCCCGCUGGAGCUUGGCCAUUGGCAAUUGGCCACGGCGUUGACCGAGAACAGGCCGCAUCAUUGGUGCAACUUAUUUCGUACUGAACUUUGAUGCUUGUGAAGAUGAUUACGAUCAUAGAACCAAUUCUGACGGCUGAGGGCUCACCCGCCUCAUCUUCCAGUCACACAACUUCCGCCGGCUGCAGGAGAUUGUGACGGCUUGCCCCACCGGAACGGAAGUCUGGAGACUUCCACCGUUGGACGAUUGCCGAUUGCGAGCUGGCAAGAGAUUAGACCUGAAAGUUGAAACUGUCCCGCCCGUGAACACCCUCUAUGGAAUUGUCGCUCGGCGUCAUGUAUUGGACAUGAAGUGCCUUUCGGGCAUGGCCUGGAAGAAGGUGCCCAAAAUUGCGACCCUGAAUAAGAUUUUGUGAUUGAUAUUGGGAGUCGUGACAAAUGAUCUAAAUAAAAAUAAAAAAUGCUAAAAAA